rnacentral:sRNA from 1 species
AUUUCACAUCUUUUCCAUAUGAGGCUUGAAUUUUUUUAAUUUUGUGUAUUUUAUUAUUUAUUUGAAUUUGAACAAACGUAAUAGCAAGCAUCGAAAAUGUCUACGGACGGACACUUUUUCCUUGGCAGAACGCAAACAAAAGUCAAACAACAAGACAACAGUAUUGAAACAGAGCUGAUUCGUCCCACUUCGUGAUUUAAUUGCAUAUGCAAUGAAAAUUGUGCGAAACUAUCGCUACCAUUCUGCUCAUAGAACUCAGUACGACUUGCACGGAACUCAGUACGAACUCAAUACGACUUGUUCGCAUUAUCUUCGUCACUAUUUUUUUAUAGUGCGUUUUGACAGUUGUUCGUGUGAAAAGUCAAAGUCAGUACCAGGCUUAAUGACGAAAAUCAAAAAAUUGUAUGUCGGCUGAUUGCUUAACCUUAUUUAGUGAAUCCUGCAAAUGUAUGGCAUAAGCAAUUAAGAACACCGUUUGAUAAUUUCUGUAUAAGUUAUAUCAAUUAAACAAAUUAUUAGCAAAUCCAGUUUUAAUUUGGGGGCUGGUACUAUGCUCAUUUUUCAAUGUAACGUUUGUACAUCACAUCGCACAAAUAAAAAUUUAUUAAUUACUAUUA